ensembl:lncRNA
UUUAAGGUGGAAGGGAGGGAUAGCCACUUCCUUUCAGGCCCCAAUCUGAAGAAGGGCCAAAUACAGUCUAACAUAAAUCACUUUAAACUCCGCAGCUUUCGCAGUACCAUUGUUAUAGAGCAGACCAGCGGAAAGAGGCCGGUAGCAGGUGGAAAUAAAAAGCCCUUUGACAACCAUAAGGUAAGAUUCUUCCCAAGAUCACCACAACAUUUACACAAGCCAAAGAGAGCAAUGUCUGGUUGCCAGCACCAGGCUGGACACAUAUACACACCAAUAUUUAGUCAGCGAGACUCUCGUAUACACUGAUACAUGAAUACAUGUAUCAGUGGCAUAGGCAGCUGCAAGAAGCAUGUAAAAACAACAAUGAUGCAGCCACUGACUGCACAGAAAAGCAGACACAGAGCCAGACGGAUGGAUGGAUUCACACUCUUAUUUUUCUCAAGUCCAAAGGAACAUGUAAGUGGUGCGUUGAGCUUAAACAAACACUGUUAAAAUAACAUCUGUUGGCUUCGUUAUAGUGGCUUUAAAAUGUGGUUUGUUGCAGUUGAGUUUGGAGAUGAAAGCAUUAUCAAAUUCAGGAAGGGAAAUGAACAAACAAACUGCUAUUUUUUUCCUUUUCUUUCUUUUUUUUUUUUUUUUCUUGUGCAACAAUAUUUGUUCUGUUGUGUUUUUCUGUCACACAAUUUGCACAGAUUGCCACAUAGGUCACACCCCCUUCAUCUCAGAGCAAUAACUUAGUCAAAUCAAAACACACAGGCAUCUGCCUUCACACACAGACACACACUUUAUAGUGGUCUCCACUGAGGUUAAAUUUCAAAAGAUAAAUAAAUAGUUGGACUGCAUUCAUUUUUUACAGUUAAAAAACUCAGAGGCGAUCAUGGCCUUUUAUUGUGAACAGAUGUACCAAAAUUUACCGAAUCUGAUGCCAUUGCCCCUUGGAGACUUGGGCAGUGAUUUGCAGUGUGCCGAGGACACUUGUUUGUUAAUAACCUGGUCAUUUUGAAAUCAUAGACACUUUCUUUUCAAGCACGCUUCCUCUCAUUAAAUGCAAAACUUCUGGUGGUGAGCCAAUGAGGCUGUUAAAACCUCCCUGCUGUGUACACAGUUUUAAAAAAUUACAAACUUCUCCAUAGCACAGUGAUCUACACAUUUGCCCAACAAGAAAAAGAUCCCUGCUUGACCUGGGAAGAGACACAAAUCCCUUAGGAAUUGCAUCAGGAAAGCCUCCGCUGUAUAAAACCUGCC